rnacentral:pre_miRNA from 1 species
UUCGUGCCAACCGAAUCACCAACCACGUAGUAUCGGAGCAUUGUGUGUCUAAUACUGCCUGGUAAUGGUGAUUGGGUGGAUACGUA